UACGAGAGGGCAAGCGUUGUCCGGAUUUACUGGGCGUAAAGCGCACGUAGGCGGAUCUUUAAGUCAGGGGUGAAAUCCUGGAGCUCAACUCCAGAACUGCCUUUGAUACUGAGGACCUUGAGUUCGGGAGAGGUGAGUGGAACUGCGAGUGUAGAGGUGAAAUUCGUAGAUAUUCGCAAGAACACCAGUGGCGAAGGCGGCUCACUGGCCCGAUACUGACGCUGAGGUGCGAAAGCGUGGGGAGCGAACAGG
rnacentral:rRNA from 1 species